rnacentral:rRNA from 1 species
AGUGAACGCUGGCGGUAGGCCUAACACAUGCAAGUCGAACGGCAGCACAGUAAGAGCUUGCUCUUACGGGUGGCGAGUGGCGGACGGGUGAGGAAUACAUCGGAAUCUACUUUUUCGUGGGGGAUAACGUAGGGAAACUUACGCUAAUACCGCAUACGACCUACGGGUGAAAGCAGGGGAUCUUCGGACCUUGCGCGAUUGAAUGAGCCGAUGUCGGAUUAGCUAGUUGGCGGGGUAAAGGCCCACCAAGGCGACGAUCCGUAGCUGGUCUGAGAGGAUGAUCAGCCACACAGGAGCUGAGACACGGGCCAGACUCCUACGGGAGGCAGCAGGGGGGAAUAUUGGACAAUGGGCGCAAGCCUGAUCCAGCCAUACCGCGUGGGUGAAGAAGGCCUGCGGGUUGUAAAGCCCUUUUGUUGGGAAAGAAAAGCAGCAGGUUAAUACCCCGCUGUUCUGACGGUACCCAAAGAAUAAGCACCGGCUAACUUCGU